rnacentral:lncRNA from 1 species
AUGGAUCCAGACAGAGAAGAGGAUGUGUUCUCAGAUGCUGAAGACCUGUUCUGCCUACGAGAUGACCUGGAGGAAGAGGAGGAAGAGCAAGAGGUUGGAGAAGAAGAUGCCAGGAUCUUCAACAUAUGGACGCAGCAGUACAGAGGAGGUGAACGACAGAAGAAGCAGGAGCAACAAGCAGAACAGGAGGAGGGAGAAGAGGAGGAAGAGGAAGAAGAAUCAGAGGAUGGAAGACCUGAAAGCAAGUGCAGCUUAGAGCUACCAGCCCAGAUGAGAUCUGGCCGCCGGUCGUCACUGCCAUGCCCGGCUACCCUCACAGCCAUGCAACUGUCCCACCUACAUUCAUCCACAUGUGCUCCAGUGACAGCGAGGGUUCUGCUGCGACGCUCCUCCUCUCGUCGCCUCCUUCCCUCCCCUCAGGAAGACAUCAUCCCACCACUUGAGCAAAGACCGUUACCCAUACCUCCCAUUCCUGAGGCUGUUCCACCUGAGAGGCGGGGCCAAUUCAGGAGGCGUAACGUUAUGUCGCUGAGUGAUGCAUAUAGUACAUGUCUGAUCUGUCACAACAACCUGAAGCAAGGAUCCGGUGGUAACAGAGAGCUGCAAUGCACACACACCUUCCACAAGGAGUGCAUAGAGGAGUGGUUGUGGACGAAACAGUCCUGUCCAACGUGUCAUGUUCAAGUGUCCAUGCCACAGCCUGUCUACUGGAACUCCACCAGGGUCAAAGUCCCCUGA